GAUGAACGCUGGCGGCGUGCCUAAUACAUGCAAGUCGAACGCUGGAAAUCUAGCUUGCUAGAUUGAAGGAGGGGCGAACGGGUGAGUAAUACAUAAGCAACCUACCCACGAAGACUGUGAUAAUCUCUGGAAACGGGGACUAAUACCGGAUAGGUAAUCGGAAGGCAUCUUCUGCUUAGUAAAGGUUAAAAACACUGGUGGAUGGGCUUAUGGCGCCUUAGUUAGUUGGUGAGGUAACGGCCCACCAAGACGAUGAUGCGUAGCCGGCCUGGGAGGGUGAACGGCCACAUUGGGACUGAGACACGGCCCAGACUCCUACGGGCGGCAGCAGUAGGGCAUUUUCGGGCAUGGGGGAAACACUGACCGAGCAACGCCGCGUGAGUGAUGACGGCCUUCGGGUUGUAAAGCUCUGUUGUAAGGGAAGAACGGUAGAUAGAGAAUAUCUAAAUGACGGUACCUUACCAGAAAGCCACGGCUAACUACGUG
rnacentral:rRNA from 1 species